rnacentral:rRNA from 1 species
UACGAAGGGGGCUAGCGUUGUUCGGAAUCACUGGGCGUAAAGCGCACGUAGGCGGGUCAUUAAGUCAGGGGUGAAAUCCUGGAGCUCAACUCCAGAACUGCCCUUGAUACUGGCGAUCUCGAGUUCGGGAGAGGUGAGUGGAACUGCGAGUGUAGAGGUGAAAUUCGUAGAUAUUCGCAAGAACACCAGUGGCGAAGGCGGCUCACUGGCCCGGUACUGACGCUGAGGUGCGAAAGCGUGGGGAGCAAACAGG